rnacentral:rRNA from 1 species
UACGUAGGGUGCAAGCGUUUGUCCGGAAUUAUUGGGCGUAAAGAGCUCGUAGGCGGUUUGUCGCGUCUGCUGUGAAAACCCCGAGGCUCAACCUCGGGCCUGCAGUGGGUACGGGCAGACUAGAGUGCGGUAGGGGGAGAUUGGAAUUCCUGGUGUAGCGGUGGAAUGCGCAGAUAUCAGGAGGAACACCAAUGGCGAAGGCAGAUCUCUGGGCCGUAAACUGACGCUGGAGGAGCGAAAGCAUGGGGAGCGAACAGGA